rnacentral:rRNA from 1 species
GGUUAAGCGAACAAGCGUACACGGUGGAUGCCCUGGCAGUCAGAGGCGAUGAAGGACGUGCUAAUCUGCGAAAAGCGCCGGUAAGGUGAUAUGAACCGUUAUAACCGGCGAUGUCCGAAUGGGGAAACCCGGUGCACUUCGGUGCAUCAUCGUUAGCUGAAUACAUAGGCUAACGAGGCGAACCGGGGGAACUGAAACAUCUAAGUACCCCGAGGAAAAGAAAUCAACCGAGAUUCCCCCAGUAGCGGCGAGCGAACGGGGAACAGCCCAGAGCCUGAAUCAGCUUGUGUGUCAGUGGAACGGUCUGGAAAGGCCGGCGAUACAGGGUGACAGCCCCGUACACGAAGGCACACAGGCUGUGAGCUCGAUGAGUAGGGCGGGACACGUGAUAUCCUGUCUGAAGAUGGGGGGACCAUCCUCCAAGGCUAAAUACUCCUGACUGACCGAUAGUGAACCAGUACCGUGAGGGAAAGGCGAAAAGAACCCCGGCGAGGGGAGUGAAACAGAACCUGAAACCGUGUACGUACAAGCAGUGGGAGCCUUCGUAAGAGGGUGACUGCGUACCUUUUGUAUAAUGGGUCAGCGACUUAUAUUCUGUAGCAAGGUUAACCGUAUAGGGGAGCCGAAGGGAAACCGAGUCUUAACCGGGCGUUAAGUUGCAGGGUAUAGACCCGAAACCCGGUGAUCUAGCCAUGGGCAGGUUGAAGGUUGGGUAACACUAACUGGAGGACCGAACCGACUAAUGUUGAAAAAUUAGCGGAUGACCUGUGGCUGGGGGUGAAAGGCCAAUCAAACCGGGAGAUAGCUGGUUCUCCCCGAAAGCUAUUUAGGUAGCGCCUCGUGAACUCAUCUCCGGGGGUAGAGCACUGUUUCGGCUAGGGGGCCAUCCCGGCUUACCAACCCGAUGCAAACUGCGAAUACCGGAGAAUGUUAUCACGGGAGACACACGGCGGGUGCUAACGUCCGUCGUGAAGAGGGAAACAACCCAGACCGCCAGCUAAGGUCCCAAAGUCAUGGUUAAGUGGGAAACGAUGUGGGAAGGCCCAGACAGCCAGGAUGUUGGCUUAGAAGCAGCCAUCAUUUAAAGAAAGCGUAAUAGCUCACUGGUCGAGUCGGCCUGCGCGGAAGAUGUAACGGGGCUAAACCAUGCACCGAAGCUGCGGCAGCGACACGUAUGUGUUGUUGGGUAGGGGAGCGUUCUGUAAGCCUGCGAAGGUGUGCUGUGAGGCAUGCUGGAGGUAUCAGAAGUGCGAAUGCUGACAUAAGUAACGAUAAAGCGGGUGAAAAGCCCGCUCGCCGGAAGACCAAGGGUUCCUGUCCAACGUUAAUCGGGGCAGGGUGAGUCGACCCCUAAGGCGAGGCCGAAAGGCGUAGUCGAUGGGAAACAGGUUAAUAUUCCUGUACUUGGUGUUACUGCGAAGGGGGGACGGAGAAGGCUAUGUCGGCCGGGCGACGGUUGUCCCGGUUUAAGCGUGUAGGCUGACUUUCCAGGCAAAUCCGGAAAGUUAAGGCUGAGGCGUGAUGACGAGGCACCACGGUGCUGAAGUGACAAAUGCCCUGCUUCCAGGAAAAGCCUCUAAGCAUCAGGUAACAUCAAAUCGUACCCCAAACCGACACAGGUGGUCAGGUAGAGAAUACCAAGGCGCUUGAGAGAACUCGGGUGAAGGAACUAGGCAAAAUGGUGCCGUAACUUCGGGAGAAGGCACGCUGACAUGUAGGUGAAGCCCCUGCGGGUGGAGCUGAAGUCAGUCGAAGAUACCAGCUGGCUGCAACUGUUU